rnacentral:rRNA from 1 species
UACGUAGGGGGCGAGCGUUGUCCGGAAUCAUUGGGCGUAAAGCGCGUGUAGGCGGUUCGGUAAGUCUGCUGUGAAAGUCCAGGGCUCAACCCUGGGAUGCCGGUGGAUACUGCCAAACUAGAGUGCGGAAGAGGCGAGUGGAAUUCCCGGUGUAGCGGUGAAAUGCGCAGAUAUCGGGAGGAACACCAAUUGCGAAGGCAGCUCGCUGGGACGUUACUGACGCUGAGACGCGAAAGCGUGGGGAGCAAACAGG